rnacentral:rRNA from 1 species
AGGCGUGGAACUUGCGGCUUAAUUUGACUCAACACUGGAAAUCUCACCAGGCCCGGACACCGGAAGGAUUGACAGAUUGAGAGCUCUUUCUCGAUUCGGUGGGUGGUGGUGCAUGGCCGUUCUUAGUUGGUGGAGUGAUUUGUCUGGUUAAUUCCGAUAACGAACGAGACUCCGUCCUGCUAACUAGUCGUGGUGUCACUCUUGCACCGCGAAUUCUUCUUAGAGGGACUGGCGGCAUCUAGCCGCACGAGAUGGAGCAAUAACAGGUCUGUGAUGCCCUUAGAUGUUCUGGGCUGCACGCGUGUUACACUGAAGGGAUCAGCGUGUCCUCCCUGACCGAGAGGUCCGGGUAACCCGCUGAACCCCCUUCGUGGUAGGGAUCGGAGCUUGCAAUUAUUCUCCGUGAACCAGGAAUGCCCAGUAAGCGCAAGUCAUAAGCUUGCGUUGAUUACGUCCCUGCCGUUUGUACACACCGCCCGUCGCUACUACCGAUUGAACGUUUUAGUGAGGUAUUUGGACUGGACCUCAGUUGGUUCGCGCCGACUGUGUUGUUCGGGAAGACUCCCAAACUUGAGCGUUUAGAGGAAGUAAAAGUCGUAACAA